rnacentral:tRNA from 1 species
AUUUUUUCUCCAACAA